UACGUAGGGCGCAGGCGUUGUCCGGAAUUAUUGGGCGUAAAGAGCUCGUAGGCGGUUUGUCGCGUCUGCCGUGAAAGUCCGGGGCUUAACUCCGGAUGUGCGGUGGGUACGAGCAGGCUAGGGUGCAGUAGGGGAGACUGGAAUUCCUGGUGUAGCGGUGAAAUGCGCAGAUAUCAGGAAGAACACCGAUGGCGAAGGCAGGUCUCUGGGCUGUAACUGACGCUGAGGAGCGAAAGCAUGGGGAGCGAACAGG
rnacentral:rRNA from 1 species